CCUACCUGGUUGAUCCUGCCAGUAGUGAUAUGCCUGUCUCAAAGAUUAAGCCAUGCAUGUCUGAGUACAGACCGAUCUAAGGUGAAACCGCGAAUGGCUCAUUAAAUCAGUCAUAAUUCCUUGGAUAGUGAUAAAACUUCCCCGGAUAACUGUGGAAAAUCCAGAGCUAAUACGUGCGACUGAGUUCCGACCUUGGCGCGAGCCUCGGGAAGAACGCAUUUAUUAGAUUCAAAACUGACCGGUGUACUCUGCGGGAUGCGCCGAUCGUCAAAUGUUUGAUGACUCCGGAUAACUUAGCCGAGCGCUACGGUCUUUAGUACCGGCGCCGUAUCUUUCAAGUGUCUGCCUUAUCAGCUUUCGAUUGUAGGUUAAACGCCUACAAUGGCUGUAACGGGUAACGGGGAAUCAGGGUUCGAUUCCGGAGAGGGAGCCUGAGAAACGGCUACCACAUCUAAGGAAGGCAGCAGGCACGCAAAUUACCCACUCCCAGCUCGGGGAGGUAGUGACGAAAAAUAACGAUGCGAGACUCUUCCGAGGCCUCGCAAUCGGAAUGAGUUCAUUUUAAAACUUUGGACGAGGAUCCAUUGGAGGGCAAGUCUGGUGCCAGCAGCCGCGGUAAUUCCAGCUCCAAUAGCGUAUAUUAAAGUUGCUGCGGUUAAAAAGCUCGUAGUUGGAUCUCCUAGAUCCAUUUAGUGAUCGAGUCGCUCGUUGAGCUAGCGUCCUUCGUCGGUCGCCGGAACUAAGGUGGACUUUUCGCGUCCUCGGGUUGUGCAUUCGCUCGCGUUUGUCGAUCAGGGGCCGAGAAUCUAUCCUAUUUCGGAGGACGGUUGGUCGUUGUCUUCGGGUAUCGCUCUUUCGCUUGUGGUACAAUUAAAAUUUUGUCGGCUCGCUCGGAGUGCUCUUUACCGAGUGUUCCAGGGUGGCCGACACGUUCACUUUGAAAAAAUUAGAGUGCUUAAAGCGGGCGCAUACGCUGCCUGAAUGUCUGUGCAUGGAAUGAAGUAACAGGACCUCGAUUCUGUUGUUUUUGUCGGUUUUAUUGAACCGAGGUAAUGAUUAAAAGGGACAGACGGUGGCAUUAGUAUUGCGGCGCUAGAGGUGAAAUUCUUGGACCGCUGCAAGACUAACUACUGCGAAAGCAUUUGCCGAGAAUGUUUUCAUUAAUCAAGAACGAAAGUUAGAGGAUCGAAGGCGAUCAGAUACCGCCCUAGUUCUAACCCUAAACUAUGCUAACUAGCGAUCCGCCGGAGUCAUUCCCACGACCCGGCGGGAAGCCCCAGGGAAACCAAAGUUUUUGAGUUCCGGGGGAAGUAUGGUUGCAAAGCUGAAACUUAAAGGAAUUGACGGAAGGGCACCACCAGGAGUUGGAGCCUGCGGCUUAAUUUGACUCAACACGGGAAACCUCACCAGGCCCGGACAUCAUAAGGAUUGACAGGUUGAGAGCUCUUUCUCGAUUUGAUGGGUGGUGGUGCAUGGCCGUUCUUAGUUGGUGGAGUGAUCUGUCUGGUUGAUUCCGAUAACGAACGAGACUCUACCCUACUAACUAGUCGGCGGAUCGUAACCCUGAGAUGGUUAGUUUGUAUAGGUCGGUUUGUCCUAGCCACGAGCGGUAGUUUUCGGUGCGUAUUUCUCGCGCUUGUGGGUUCGCGCUCGCUUGUGUGUGGAGAUGCGUACUUGGCUAUUUGUGAGUGACGAAGCUGCCGUCUGAUUACUGCUACUGCUGGGGGCGUCCGUCGCAAUGCAUCUUCUUAGAGGGAUCAGCGGCGUUUAGCCGACGAGAAAGAGCAAUAACAGGUCUGUGAUGCCCUUAGAUGUUCUGGGCCGCACGCGCGCUACAAUGUAGAGAUCAGCGUGCUUUCCCCUUCCGAAAGGAACGGGUAACCCGUUGAAACCCCUACCCGAUUGGGAUUGGGGAUUGCAAAUAUUUCCCAUAAACGAGGAAUUCCCAGUAAGCGCGAGUCAUUAACUCGCGCUGAUUACGUCCCUGCCCUUUGUACACACCGCCCGUCGCUACUACCGAUUGAAUGAUUCAGUGAGGGCAUCGGACUGGCGCCUUCGGUUUAGUAACAUAGACCUUAGGCUGACGGAAAGAUGUCCGAACUUGAUCAUUUAGAGGAAGUAAAAGUCGUAACAAGGUUUCCGUAGUGAACCUGCGGAAGGAUCAUUAAA
rnacentral:rRNA from 1 species